rnacentral:rRNA from 1 species
UACGUAGGGGGCUAGCGUUGUCCGGAAUUACUGGGCGUAAAGGGCUCGUAGGCGGCCAACUAAGUCAUACGUGAAAUCCCUCGGCUUAACCGGGGAACUGCGUCUGAUACUGGAUGGCUUGAGUUCGGGAGAGGGAUGCGGAAUUCCAGGUGUAGCGGUGAAAUGCGUAGAUAUCAGGAGGAACACCUGUGGUGUAGACGGCUUUCUGGACCAUAGCUGACGCUGAGACACGAAAGCGUGGGUAGCAAACAGG